rnacentral:rRNA from 1 species
GACCAGACUCCUACGGGAGGCAGCAGUGGGGGAUAUUGCACAAUGGGGGGAACCCUGAUGCAGCGACGCCGCGUGAGGGAAGACGGUUUUCGGAUUGUAAACCUCUGUCUUUAGGGACGAAACAAAUGACGGUACCUAAAGAGGAAGCCACGGCUAACUACGUGCCAGCAGCCGCGGUAAUACGGAGGGUGCAAGCGUUGUCCGGAAUCAUUGGGCGUAAAGAGUUCGUAGGCGGCAUGUAAAGUCAGGUGUUAAAGGCGCAGGCUCAACCUGUGUAUGGCACUUGAUACUUGCAAGCUGGAAUGCGGUAGAGGUAAAGGGAAUUCCUGGUGUAGCGGUGAAAUGCUUAGAUAUCAGGAGGAACAUCGGUGGCGUAAGCGCUUUACUGGGCCGUAAUUGACGCUGAGGAACGAAAGCCAGGGUAGCAAAUGGGAUUAGAUACCCUAGUA